rnacentral:rRNA from 1 species
CCUACGGGGAGCAGCAGUGAGGAAUAUUGGUCAAUGGACGAGAGUCUGAACCAGCCAAGUAGCGUGAAGGAUGACUGCCCUAUGGGUUGUAAACUUCUUUUAUAAAGGAAUAAAACGAGGCACGGGUGCCUUUUUGCAUGUACUUUAUGAAUAAGGAUCGGCUAACUCCGUGCCAGCAGCCGCGGUAAUACGGAGGAUCCGAGCGUUAUCCGGAUUUAUUGGGUUUAAAGGGAGCGUAGAUGGGUUGUUAAGUCAGUUGUGAAAGUUUGCGGCUCAACCGUAAAAUUGCAAGUGAUACUGGCAGUCGUGAGUACAGUUGAGGUAAGCGGAAUUCGUGGUGUAGCGGUGAAAUGCUUAGAUAUCACGAAGAACCCCGAUUGCGAAGGCAGCUUACUAAACUGUGACUGACAUUGAUGCUCGAAAGUGUGGGUAUCAAACAGGAUUAGAUACCCUGGUAGUC